GAGUUUGAUCAUGGCUCAGGAUGAACGCUAGCUACAGGCUUAACACAUGCAAGUCGAGGGGCAGCGAAAAGAAAGCUUGCUUCUUGUCGGCGACCGGCGCACGGGUGAGUAACGCGUAUCCAACCUUCCCCUUAGUAGGGCAUAGCCCGUAGAAAUGCGGAUUAAUACCCUAUGUUGUUCGAUGCGGACAUCUAAGUUGAACCAAAGGUUUACCGCUAAGGGAUGGGGAUGCGUCCGAUUAGGCAGCAGGCGGGGUAACGGCCCACCUGGCCGACGAUCGGUAGGGUUCUGAGAGGAAGGUCCCCCACAUUGGAACUGAGACACGGUCCAAACUCCUACGGGAGGCAGCAGUGAGGAAUAUUGGUCAAUGGGCGAGAGCCUGAACCAGCCAAGUAGCGUGCCAGGAUGACGGCCCUAUGGGUUGUAAACUGCUUUUAUGCGGGGAUAAAGUGAGGGACGUGUCCCUUAUUGUAGGUACCGCAUGAAUAAGGACCGGCUAAUUCCGUGCCAGCCGCUGC
rnacentral:rRNA from 1 species